rnacentral:rRNA from 1 species
AACGAACGCUGGCGGCAGGCUUAACACAUGCAAGUCGAACGGGUGCAGCAAUGCAUCAGUGGCAGACGGGUGAGUAACACGUGGGAACCUUCCUAGGGGUACGGAACAACUCAGGGAAACUUGAGCUAAUACCGUAUACGUCCGUGAGGAGAAAGAUUUAUCGCCCUUAGACGGGCCCGCGUCGGAUUAGCUAGUUGGUGGGGUAACGGCCUACCAAGGCGACGAUCCGUAGCUGAUCUUAGAGGAUGAUCAGCCACACUGGGACUGAGACACGGCCCAGACUCCUACGGGAGGCAGCAGUGGGGAAUCUUGGACAAUGGGGGCAACCCUGAUCCAGCAAUACCGCGUGUGUGAAGAAGGCCUGCGGGUUGUAAAGCACUUUUAGUAGGGAAGAUAAUGACGUUACCUACAGAAAAAGCACCGGCUAACUCCGUGCCAGCCGCCGCAGUAAGAC